ACUCCUACGGGAGGCAGCAGUAGGGAAUCUUCCACAAUGGGCGAAAGCCUGAUGGAGCAACGCCGCGUGGGUGAAGAAGGUCUUCGGAUCGUAAAACCCUGUUGUUAGAGAAGAAAGUGCGUGAGAGUAACUAUUCACGUUUCGACGGUAUCUAACCAGAAAGCCACGGCUAACUACGUGCCAGCAGCCGCGGUAAUACGUAGGUGGCAAGCGUUAUCCGGAUUUAUUGGGCGUAAAGGGAACGCAGGCGGUCUUUUAAGUCUGAUGUGAAAGCCUUCGGCUUAACCGGAGUAGUGCAUUGGAAACUGGGAGACUUGAGUGCAGAAGAGGAGAGUGGAACUCCAUGUGUAGCGGUGAAAUGCGUAGAUAUAUGGAAGAACACCAGUGGCGAAAGCGGCUCUCUGGUCUGUAACUGACGCUGAGGUUCGAAAGCGUGGGUAGCAAACAGGAUUAGAUACCCUGGUAGGAUAGCG
rnacentral:rRNA from 1 species